AACUUACUGCAGAAGUCGGGGACUACGAUAGGAAACUUCGGAAACACGCAGCAGAACUUGCGGAACGGGAUGAGAAAAUCAGGGAACAUGAAGCAGAGAUAAGGCGUCUUACCGAGCUGCUUGAGGAUCGUGAUUUGGAAGCCCG